UCCUCAGUAGCUCAGCGGUAGAGCAGUCGACUGUUAAUUGGCUAGUUGUAGGUUCGAAUCCUACUUGAGGAG
rfam:Gossypium arboreum cultivar AKA8401 contig_11251_3, whole genome shotgun sequence.